ACGAACGCUGGCGGCGUGCUUAACACAUGCCAGUCGAACGGUAAGGCCCCUUCGGGGGUACACGAGUGGCGAACGGGUGAGUAACACGUGAGCAACCUGCCCUUGACUCUGGAAUAACAGUUGGAAACAGCUGCUAAUACUGGAUAUUCAUCGUCUCCUUCCUGGGGGGUGGUGGAAAGCUCCGGCGGUCAGGGAUGGGCUCGCGGCCUAUCAGCUUGUUGGUGAGGUAAUGGCUCACCAAGGCUUCGACGGGUAGCCGGCCUGAGAGGGCGACCGGCCACACUGGGACUGAGAUACGGCCCAGACUCCUACGGGAGGCAGCAGUGGGGAAUAUUGCACAAUGGGCGCAAGCCUGAUGCAGCAACGCCGCGUGCGGGAUGACGGCCUUCGGGUUGUAAACCGCUUUCGGUAGGGACGAAGGGUGACUGACGGUACCUACAGAAGAAGGACCGGCUAACUACGUG
rnacentral:rRNA from 1 species